CCAAUAGCGUAUAUUAAAGUUGUUGCAGUUAAAAAGCUCGUAGUUGAAUUUCGGGAUCAGUACGCCGGUCGUGCCUUCGGUAUGUACUGGUGUUACUGGUUCCUACCUUCUGACGAACCGUCAUGUCAUUAAUUUGGUGUGGCGGGGAAUCAGGACUGUUACUUUGAAAAAAUUAGAGUGUUUAAAGCAGGCUCGCGCUUGAAUACAUUAGCUUGGAAUAAUGAAAUAGGACGUUCGAUCCUAUUUUGUUGGUUUCUAGGAUUGACGUAAUGAUUAAUAGGGAUAGUGGGGGGCAUUAGUAUUCAAUUGUCAGAUGUGAAAUUCUUGGAUUUAUUGAAGACUAACUACUGCGAAAGCAUUUGCCAAGGAUGUUUUCAUUAAUCAAGAACGAAAGUUAGGGGAUCGAAGACGAUCAGAUACCGUCGUAGUCUUAACCAUAAACUAUGCCGACUAGGGAUCGGAUGAUGUUAUUUUUAAUGACUCAUUCGGCGCCUUACG
rnacentral:rRNA from 1 species